rnacentral:lncRNA from 12 species
CUCAAUCUCACCACCCUAAGGUCAUGACCUGAGCCAAAAUCAAUAGUAUGAGGCCCAACAGACUGAGCCACCCAGACACCCCAAGAAUGGGAGAUACUCUUAUAAGCUUAGGCCAAUAUGAAUAACAGGGAAUUAUGAGUAUUUUUAAGUUCCCUUGUCAACCAAGAAGGUGUAUAGAUUCAACAUUUAAUUUUAAACAUGGAUAGACAUACUUUUAGAUAAACAUCAUAAAUCCAUAUAUAUAUAUAUAUAUAAUCUAAGUGUGAUAAAGAAUAUUUUAAAAAGGAUCUAAGCCACAGAUUUGUAUAAAAAGGUAAUUCCAUGAAUCUGUGAGGAGUUCUAAUAGAAAAGUCAGGGCCACUUCACUGACAAGAACAAAUCUAAAUGUUUUGAGGAGUGACUUCAAUACUGAAAUUAGAAGCAUUCAAGAAAUGUCGAUUAAGGGAUUCCUUAGUUCAGGCACUCAGCGAAUGUCCUCACUGGGAUCGAUUUUUUUAGUUCAUGGAACUCAGAAAAGAUGUUGCUGCUUCAAAAGACUCUAAGGAUCCAAUAAAUUCAUUCUUUUGGGAUCGUUCAACUGAACACAGUCAAAGUUUAAGCUCACCCCCUAAAUGGAGUGUUGGCCCACCUGAGCCACCUUGGCCUUGUCUGCUACCCUGGUGAGUCCUUUCCAUGCUCCCUGAGCACCUGAGCUGCCUCAGUUUCCAUUUGUUCCUCUCCUUCCUAGAAGGUUUCUUUUUAAAUUUUAUUUUAAUCCCAAACAUCUCAAUGUUUUGCAGUGUCUAGGGGUUUGAGCCUCUUGUUUUUCGUUCUACUUCUUUUUUUCUCUCCUUUCCUCUUCAUGGAGUGAUUAUGUUGACAAUAAUGUAUAAUGCGCAUUCUCUUCACUGGUUUAUCUGCAGAAAUUUCUCUGGGCUUUUUUUUUUCGGUGUAUGAUUCAACACUGCAUUAAAGGGGGAUGUUCCAUUGAAUAAAAGAGCAGUGUGGUAAAAAAAAAAAAAAAAG